GCUUCUUUGGCUCAGUUGGCAGAGCGUCCGCCUAGUAAGCGGAAGGUCGUCAGUUCAAUUCUGGCAAGAAGCA